rnacentral:lncRNA from 1 species
GUCUCUCCUGCCACCACGUGAAGAAGGUGCUUGUUUCCCCUUUGCCUUCCGCCGUGAUUGUAAGUUUCCUGAGGUCUCCCAGUCAUACUGCUGGUUAAGCCUGCGGAACGGCUGGUCUUGAACUCCCAGCCUCAAGCCAUCCUCCCGCCUUGGCCUUUCAAAGUGCUGGAUUACAAGCGUGAGCCACCGUGCACAGCCAAGACACAAUUUUAAAUCGAGCGGUCAGGAAGCCUCCUGGGGAAAAUGACGUUUGAACAAAGACAUGAAGAAAGUGGAGAAUAUUUGGGGAAAAGCAUUUCAGGCAGAGGAAAGUGCCAGGGCAGAGGCCCCGAGGCAGGAGGAAGCAACAGAAAACAGGGAAGCAGGUGUCCCAGGAGGAGCCCAAUGCCAUGGAAAGAUGGGAAAAGAGGUGGUGGAUGAGAUCCUGGAUUCUUACAAACUUUAUCUACUCCACUUGCACAGAUGAUGGAGGAUUUGAGGAGUGUCAGUGAAUGCUCUGUGUGGACUGAACUUGGAGCAGACUGGGGCUGGAACUCUCCAGGGAGGGCAACUUUGACCGAGACAUCUUAGGGUUUGCCAAGUCCUCAGCAGAUGUUUUUUGAUGUGCCUUGAGAUCCUCAAAUGAGAAGGGCAGUGGGAUUCUUCCCUCUCCCGCCAGGACCACAUCUGUGCUUUUCUGUAAUUGUGUAAAA